ACGUAGGGUGCGAGCGUUAAUCGGAAUUACUGGGCGUAAAGCGUGCGCAGGCGGUUUUUUAAGUCAGAUGUGAAAUCCCCGGGCUCAACCUGGGAACUGCAUUUGAAACUGGAAGACUAGAGUAUAGCAGAGGGAGGUAGAAUUCCACGUGUAGCAGUGAAAUGCGUAGAUAUGUGGAGGAAUACCAAUGGCGAAGGCAGCCUCCUGGGUUAAUACUGACGCUCAUGCACGAAAGCGUGGGGAGCAAACAGGAUUAGAUACCCUGGUAGUCCACGCCCUAAACGAUGUCAACUAGUUGUUGGGGAAGGAGACUUUCUUAGUAACGUAGCUAACGCGUGAAGUUGACCGCCUGGGGAGUACGGUCGCAAGAUUA
rnacentral:rRNA from 1 species